CUCUAAUACUGUUGUAUUUAUAAACUAUUUCCAUGGGCAGUGCUGCAGGUUCUUCCUGUUUUGUGUUCCUUGAAGCCAAUUGAAUGUUAACUGAUGAAAGCUAGAGGACAGCUGAGUUUUCCAGCAGAAAAAGAAGCAGGAGACAUGUAUAAAAAAUACAAGAGGCAGCACAGGAGAGUCAAGACAAAGAUGCAAGUUCCUGCUUUUGGAUUUAGAGGUCAGCCCUGAUUGAAUGAGUUUGCAUGACGUCAGCUCCUAAGUCAUCCUCUGAGAGGUGCUUUGGAAUAGAAAACAGGAGUGGCUGGAGCCUAAUGAUUCAUACC